rnacentral:rRNA from 1 species
CAGCCGCCGCGGUAAUACGUAGGUGGCAAGCGUUGUCCGGAAUUAUUGGGCGUAAAGGGCUCGCAGGCGGUUUCUUAAGUCUGAUGUGAAAGCCCCCGGCUCAACCGGGGAGGGUCAUUGGAAACUGGGAAACUUGAGUGCAGAAGAGGAGAGUGGAAUUCCACGUGUAGCGGUGAAAUGCGUAGAGAUGUGGAGGAACACCAGUGGCGAAGGCGACUCUCUGGUCCGUAACUGACGCUGAGGAGCGAAAGCGUGGGGAGCGAACAGGAUUAGAGACCCCUGUAGUCCCUGUCUCUUAUAU